rnacentral:misc_RNA from 1 species
AACGCACAUUGCGCCCUGUGGUAUUCCGCAGGGCAUGCCUGUUCGAGCGUCAUUAUAGCCACUCAAGCCUCGCUUGGUAUUGGGGCUCGCAGCUCUGCGGCCUCUAAAAUCAGUGGCGGUGCCUAUAGGCUCUAAGCGUAGUAAUUCUCCUCGCUAUAGAGUCUGUGGGUUCCCUGCCAAAACCCCCCAUACUUUUAUAGGUUGACCUCGGAUCAGGUAGGGAUACCCGCUGAACUUAA